UACGUAGGGACCGAGCGUUGUCCGGAAUCAUUGGGCGUAAAGAGCGCGUAGGCGGCCAGAUAAGUCCGGUGUGAAAGUCACAGGCUCAACCUGUGAAUGCCGCUGGAAACUGUCUGGCUAGAGUCCGGGAGGGGCGAGUGGAAUUUCUGGUGUAGCGGUGAAAUGCGCAGAUAUCAGGAGGAACACCAAUGGCGAAGGCAGCUCGCUGGAACGGUACUGACGCUGAGGCGCGAAAGCGUGGGGAGCAAACAGG
rnacentral:rRNA from 1 species